rnacentral:rRNA from 1 species
UAGGGAAUCUUCCACAAUGGACGCAAGUCUGAUGGAGCAACGCCGCGUGAGUGAAGAAGGUCUUCGGAUCGUAAAACUCUGUUGUUAGAGAAGAACACGAGUGAGAGUAACUGUUCAUUCGAUGACGGUAUCUAACCAGCAAGUCACGGCUAACUACGUGCCNG